rnacentral:rRNA from 1 species
GGCGAACGCUGGCGGCGUGCUUAACACAUGCAAGUCGAGCGGGGACAUGGAGAAGCUUGCUUCGAAAUGUUCUAGCGGCGGACGGGUGAGUAACGCGUGAGCAACCUUUCCUCUACUGGGGAAUAAUCACUGGAAACGGUGACUAAUACCGCAUGUCAUCACCGGAGGGCAUCCUCUGGUGAAAAAAGGAUUUAUUCGGUACAGGAUGGGCCCGCAUCUGAUUAGCUAGUUGGUGAGAUAACAGCCCACCAAGGCGACGAUCAGUAGCCGACCUGAGAGGGUGAUCGGCCACAUUGGGACUGAGACACGGCCCAAA